UACGUAGGGGCCUAGCGUUGUCCGGAUUUUAUUGGGCGUAAAGAGCCUCGUAGGCGGUUUGUCGCGUCCGUUGUGAAAGCUUGGGGCUCAACCCCCAAGUCUGCAGUGGAUACGGGGCAGACUAGAGUCAGGUAGGGGAGAACGGAAUUCCCGUGUAGCGGUGAAAUGCGUAGAGAUCGGGAGGAACAUCAGUGGCGAAGGCGGCCCAUCUGGGACAACACUGACGCUG
rnacentral:rRNA from 1 species